UACGAAGGGGGCUAGCGUUGCUCGGAAUCACUGGGCGUAAAGCGCACGUAGGCGGAUUGCUAAGUCAGGGGUGAAAUCCUGGAGCUCAACUCCAGAACUGCCUUUGAUACUGGCGAUCUCGAGUCCGGGAGAGGUGAGUGGAACUGCGAGUGUAGAGGUGAAAUUCGUAGAUAUUCGCAAGAACACCAGUGGCGAAGGCGGCUCACUGGCCCGGUACUGACGCUGAGAGUGCGAAAAGCGUGGGGAGCAAACAGG
rnacentral:rRNA from 1 species